UAAACCCUUAGACCCAUCUCAAUAUUACCUCCUCAGCAAGUUCUUUCCUAUAAUAAUUGUACCUUACCCUUCCUUGUUCUUCCAUCUUCUAUAUCACUUUAUCUGGACAACUGUUAGGCCCCUCUCUUCCUUCAAGGCUGAAGACUUCCAUAGUCAGUUGAGACUCUGCUUCACACAUUAUAAUGAAGGCGCCAGGGAGAAGGAAGCACUCUCUCAUUGGGUGCAGAGAAGGAAAAAUAUGGCACCCUGCCUAGAAUGGAGAUUUUAUGUUUUACAGAAAUGACUUAGGGAGGACAUCCUGCAAGAAGCUGUUGAUCAGUGAAAUGUGUAUUUGCUCAAAACACACUUUCCCAGCUGAGCCCCAACCCUUCGUUCCAAGUCUUCCUGGCUGGGUCCUGCGCAUUUGGCUCCCCCAUAACCUUGUUUAGGACUGUUUCUGUUGAGGAUCACACUGUGCAGAGUUUCAAAGUCAUUCUGCUAAUCCAACUACCUAGAAUGAACCUUUUCCAGGAGAGACUGUUACCCAGUGGACGAGGAGAUGGUAAGGCAUAAGUAGGUGCAGCUGGCAUGGUCUGACAAGCGUGUACCAUAAAAUGAAAUCAUCGCACCAGAAGAUUAGAGGUGAUAAAGUAAAAUAUGGAAAUUUGAACAAAAAAACAAAGCAAUUCAUUGGAGAAUUAAAGGCAAGACUAAAAGUCUG
rnacentral:lncRNA from 1 species